GGGACUUACUACCGAAAGGCUCGGUAAUGCCGGAUGAUGUCUCCGGACCAAAGAUUUAUUGCCCGGGGAUGGAUCUGCGUCCUAUUAGCUUGUUGGUGAGGUAACGGCUCACCAAGGCAAAGAUGGGUAGCGGGCGUGAGAGCGUGGCCCGCCUCACUGGGACUGAGACACUGCCCAGACACCUACGGGUGGCUGCAGUCGAGAAUCUUCCGCAAUGGGCGAAAGCCUGACGGAGCGACGCCGCGUGCGGGAUGAAGGCCUUCGGGUUGUAAACCGCUGUCAGUGGGGAGCAAAUCCAGGAAACUGGUUGAGCGAUCCGCAGAGGAAGCGCAGGCUAAGUUCGUGCCAGCAGCCGCGGUAACACGAACUGCGCGAACGUUAUUCGGAAUCAUUGGGCUUAAAGAGUUCGUAGGCGGCUUGAUAAGUCGGGUGUGAAAUCCCUCGGCCCAACCGAGGAACUGCGCCCGAUACUGUUAGGCUUGAGGGAGACAGAGGUGAGCGGAACUGAUGGUGGAGCGGUGAAAUGCGUUGAUAUCAUCAGGAACACCGGUGGCGAAAGCGGCUCAC
rnacentral:rRNA from 1 species